UCUAACAAGGACUCCCACAUCCCUCCCUGGCUAACUUGGAUCCUGCUCAACACAACACCUGCCUUUCCUGAGUCCCUGGGUUCCUGCAGGCCUCGGGGCCCCACAGUUAUAUCUGCUGUUCCUGCAGGUCACAGUCACAGCAACUCUCCAAAUCAUGAUGCUCAAAAUGCCACAUCUAAAAAGAACAUCUGGGCUCUGCCCCUAAGAAAGUAAAUUCAUGCACCUGCAAAGAGAAAGGAAAGGGACAGCCAUCCACCUUUUGACUCCUGAGUUUCCAUCUGCACCCUUCAACACUUAUUAGGACUUAUAUGAAACUAUGUGACAACUUUUUGUUUCUAUUAAACAAAACACAGCUUU